rnacentral:lncRNA from 1 species
UUACCAAGAGACAGCAUUGCCAGCUCUUCUGUCAAGUGUUAGAUUUCUUUAGCAAAUUGGUACAACUGCCUGAACUUCUUCCAACAUAUCACAUACCCCCUUUUUGCAGAAUUGAAGGGCUUGCUGAUUGUCUGACAUCAAUGCUUAUCUACAUUCACUGAAGGAAAGUAUUGGAUAGAUCAGGUUCUAACAGAUCACCCCACGUUAAAAAAAACAGUUGAGUACCGAAGCGCUUCUAAACCUGAAGAAGGAAAGUAUCUCUUGCUUUUCAGAAUUACCAGAUGGGGCUUUUCACAUCCCUUUCAGAGCACUGAGGCUCAGUGUUUGUACAAGUCUUCACUCUUGAGGCCCUGAAUCAUGUUCACCCAAUGAAGAAGACUUCAACAGAGGACUGGACAGGACUCAUUUGGAGAAAACCAAUUCUCUCUUCUUCAAUCGGCAAGAAAGGACAAAGUUGAGUAUGGGUUGAGGGACUCAGAAGUAGUUUGGGCUCUAGCUACAGUG